rfam:Oryctolagus cuniculus chromosome 13, whole genome shotgun sequence.
GUCUCUGUGGCGCAAUCGGUUAGCGUGUUCGCCUGUUAAGGCGUCAAAGAAGGUUGGUGCUUCGAGCCCACCCAGGGACU